rnacentral:rRNA from 1 species
UACGGAGGGAGCUAGCGUUGUUCGGAAUUACUGGGCGUAAAGCGCACGUAGGCGGCUUUGUAAGUUAGAGGUGAAAGCCCGGAGCUCAACUCCGGAAUUGCCUUUAAGACUGCAUCGCUUGAAUCCAGGAGAGGUGAGUGGAAUUCCGAGUGUAGAGGUGAAAUUCGUAGAUAUUCGGAAGAACACCAGUGGCGAAGGCGGCUCAC